rnacentral:misc_RNA from 1 species
UACAGAGUCCAAUUUAAGCAGAGCAGCAGAAAUCAUUACAUAGUAUGGGAAAAGCUGCAGUUUAUAGCCCUUGUGGAGUUAUUUACCACAUGCAGAAGUCAUAUGGAGCCCAAUUUGCAAUAUCAUCUAUAAUUCAUUUAAGCAGAAUGACACAAUUCAUCAUAUUGUAGAGCCGAAGCUGCAUUUUGCAGCCUUGUAGGAGUUAUUUAUCAACAUCCACAAUAUGAACAUUACUAAAAUGUGUGUCAAUCCCAACAUGGAGCUGCCAAUUUUUCCCAUCCAAAUUGUAUCAACAUAAAUGCAGGUAGGUG